CAACCAUCACUGUCCUUGACAGACGUUCAAAUAAAUACGAAAUCAAUAAAUAAAGGAAAUACAGACAAUCUGAACUGAUUACGGGCGUUCUUCUUUAAGAAGAAAGAAGUGUAGUCGCGGGCGUGCUGACAUCAUCGUGCUCAGUGCAGGACAUAUUUUCAAGUUUGCGAGCGGGAACCAAAACAGACGGUUUAGAACUUGUGCAGGUUGUCUGUAUGGAUCUGGCAGUCUGUCAUCCACUUGCUGCAGAUGGGACAAGUCUGGAGGUUCCUUACUUUACUGUUAGCUCUCUUGAUGGUAUAUUCCAGGCCUACACUUUCCUCGAGGGUUACCACAUGUCCCUGUUUGUGCAGGACAGUCCCUAUUUGGGCACUUGUAUGUCUUGCAAAAAAUAAAAAUAAAACAUGGUUAAUAUCCUGCGAUUUUAUGAGAGAAUAUUUCAUAAGCCUCCUAUAAUAGUUGCAUAAAACAAUUGUAUAUGGAACACUUAAAUUUUACAUGGAGCAGCAUCAGCAAUUCAGAUGUUAAAAUAAUAAACUUUUAUUUUGACAAAGUGAUGUUCAGUCCUUUGCAAUGGCUG